rnacentral:rRNA from 1 species
GACUCCUACGGGAGGCAGCAGUGGGGAAUAUUGGGCAAUGGGCGAAAGCCUGACCCAGCAACGCCGCGUGAAGGAUGAAGGUCUUCGGAUUGUAAACUUCUUUGAUUAGGGAAGAAUUUUUGACCUACCUAAAGAACAAGUCACGGCUAACUACGUGCCAGCAGCCGCGGUAAU